rnacentral:tRNA from 1 species
CAGGGAGACAACAAAAUGUUAAAUAUUAAUUUUGUCACCUUAGGUCGAUCGGUAUCUCACAUCCUUAAUUUAUUAAGGUUUUUAUUUCCUAAGUUUUUCUAGGUCACACCCAUUAUUUCCCUGGGCCAUUAGCUCAGGUGGUUAGAGCGCACCCCUGAUAAGGGUGAGGUCCCUGGUUCAAGUCCAGGAUGGCCCAUAUCUCUAUGUUGGGGGUAUAGCUCAGUUGGUAGAGCGCCUGCUUUGCAAGCAGGAUGUCAGCGGUUCGAGUCCGCUUACCUCCACUGAUUACCACCUCUUCCAUAACUUAAAGAAAGGGAUGUUUUUGGAGUGUGAUCAAAUUCUGAACGAAUCUAGCUUCCUAAUAAACUUAUUAAGAUGCUGGACUCAUUGAAUUAAUUUCAUUGUUUUCAGAGAACCUUGACAACUGCAUAGAUUAUUUUAAAGACAAUAAGCAUUUUUAUAAUGCAGAUUUAUUAUUUGUGCGAAUGCAUCAAAUAACAAUUCUAUUAAGCUGAUGCUUCAA